rnacentral:rRNA from 1 species
CCUACGGGCGGCUGCAGUGGGGAAUAUUGCACAAUGGGCGCAAGCCUGAUGCAGCCAUGCCGCGUGUGUGAAGAAGGCCUUCGGGUUGUAAAGCACUUUCAGCGGGGAGGAAGGCGUUAAGGUUAAUAACCUUGUCGAUUGACGUUACCCGCAGAAGAAGCACCGGCUAACUCCGUGCCAGCAGCCGCGGUAAUACGGAGGGUGCAAGCGUUAAUCGGAAUUACUGGGCGUAAAGCGCACGCAGGCGGUCUGUCAAGUCGGAUGUGAAAUCCCCGGGCUCAACCUGGGAACUGCAUUCGAAACUGGCAGGCUAGAGUCUUGUAGAGGGGGGUAGAAUUCCAGGUGUAGCGGUGAAAUGCGUAGAGAUCUGGAGGAAUACCGGCGGCGAAGGCGGCCCCCUGGACAAAGACUGACGCUCAGGUGCGAAAGCGUGGGGAGCAAACAGGAUUAGAUACCCGAGUAGUC